UUGGACCACGCAUUUUAAACUAAACAAACACUUUCAUAUACAGAGAAAAUGAGCAUUGUCUCUGAGCAAGAAUGACAAUACAUGCAGCAUACCUCUUCAAGUCAGU